UAGUCAGAGAGAAGUUUGGAGACCAGGAUGUUUGGAUACUGCCCCAGGCAGAGUGGCAGCCUGGGGAGACCCUUCGAGGAACAGCUGAACGAACCCUGGCCACACUCUCAGGUGACACCCAUUUUAAAGGUGGAUGAACUUUGUUUUACAGACCAAAUGUCCUCGUCCUUCACCAGCAGAUAGCGACUGGGCUGAUUCACCAACAGUUAGCGACUGGGCUGAUUCGCCAACAGAUAGCGACUGGGCUGAUUCGCCAGCAGAUAGCGACUGGGCUGAUUCGCCAGCAUAGCGACUGGGCUGAUUCGCCAGCAGAUAGCGACUGGGCUGAAUGUAGGAACUAGAAAACAACAUGGAAGCCAAGUUCCUAGGAAAUGCACCCUGUGGGCACUACACAUUCAAGUUCCCCCAGGCAAUGCGGACAGAGAGUAACCUCGGAGCCAAGGUGUUCUUCUUCAAAGCACUGCUAUUAACUGGAGACUUUUCCCAGGCUGGGAAUAAGGGCCAUCAUGUGUGGGUCACUAAGGAUGAGCUGGGUGACUAUUUGAAACCAAAAUACCUGGCCCAAGUUAGGAGGUUUGUUUCAGACCUCUGAUGGGCCGAGCUGCCUGUGGACGGUGCUCAGACAAGUCUGGGAUUAGAGCCUCAAGGACAUUGUGUGAUUGCCUCACAUUUGCAGGUAAUAUCAAGCAGCAAACUAAAUUCUGAGAAAUAAACGAGUCUAUUACUG
rnacentral:lncRNA from 1 species